rfam:Botryotinia fuckeliana BcDW1 unplaced genomic scaffold Scaffold_125, whole genome shotgun sequence.
UCCGGCAUGGUGUAGUGGCUAGCAUUUCCGCCUCUCAUUCGAAACCCUCGAGUUUCAAUCAGGUCGCGGGAGACCGGGGUUCAAUUCCCCGUACCGGAA